GAUUUAUGACCUAGUAACUGAGGACAGAAAUAAGUGGUUGCAUUACUGCCUGGCAACCUGAGUCUGGGCUCCACUCCGGAGGGGCGGCACAGAUUGAAAUAGCUGAGGCAAGUUUACUUUUCCCUGUCCAGGUGCUCUCCUGCCGCCAACACAGCCCUAAUGAGCUCUGCAUAUUCAAAACACAAGUAAUUGAUAGUCCAAUUUAAAGUGUGCAGAGGCCAAAUUUCUUUCCAGACGCUGAAGGAAAAACACCAGCUGAGGAAGAAUGAAGAACUGCCUGUUCUAAGUUAUUCUCCUUCUGUGGUCAUUCGAGCACCAGGAAGACCAGGUUUGCCCCAUCAAGUACCUCAAGAAAGAAGUCAAUUACCUAAAGAAGUCAAGCAAAGAGGAAAGGACAAAAUGAAAAUCAUGUACCAGGGUACACGUCGAGGCUCCAAGCUGGAAUGAAUAUGGCCUUCAACAUACUCUUUAUCAUACAGAAGCUUGUGUUCAGGGCUUGGAUUUUGAAGUCAGACAGACCUGGAUUAAAAACCAAUUCAACUACCUAUUACAUAUGUGACCUAGGUAAGAUCUAACCUCUCUGUGCCUCAGUCUACUCCUUUGCUAAAUGGGCAUUAGGAGCACAGAUUUUGAGGCAGUCAGUGUUGGAUUUCAACCUCAGCUCCACUACUGACUGUGUCAAAAGGGCAAGUUAAUGAACCUCCAAUGUUAAUUUCUUCUUCUCUAGAGAGGAAGUGAUUACAUAGGUCCAUUGAAGGACUGUUUGGGGGGCUGGUUGAGAUAAGAUAUAAAAUGCACAUGCACAGUGCUCAGGAAAAUUUUUGUGAACUUCUUACAUAUCUCCUCUUAAGCUCCAGGACAGUGGCUCUCAAAGUGUGGUCCCUGGACCAGCAGCAUCAGCUUUAUCUGGGGAACUGUGAGAAAUGUAGAUUCUCAGGUCCCACCCCAGACUCACUGAAUCAGAAACUCUGAGGGUGGUCCCAGCACUCUGUUUUAACAAGCCCUCCAAGAGAUUAUGGUGGAUGCUAAAAUUUGAGAAUCUCUGCUCUUGGGGCUAGUUCAGAAUGCACCUGAGACUUGGCCGGGUGCGGUGGCUCAUGCCUGUAAUCCCAGCACUUUGGGAGGCCGAGGUGGGCGGAUCACGAGAUCAGGAGUUCGAGACCAGCCUGGCCAACAUGAUGAAACCCCGUCUCUACUAAAAAUACAAAAAUUAGCUGGGCAUGGUGGAGGGCGCCUGUAGUCCCAGCUACUUGGGAGGCUGAGGCAGGAGAAUCGCUUGAACCCAGGAGGUGGAGGUUGCAGUGAGCCGAGAUCGUGCCAUUGCACUCCAGCCUGGGGGACAAGAGCCAGACUCCGUCUCAAAAAAUUAAAAAAAACAAAGAAUGCACCUGAGACUUUCAGUCCACACACAACUGCUGUGGGUUCCCAAGAACCUGUUCAGUGCCAUGAUUCUUUGAAGUGAGUUCUCCGCUCAUUGUUUUCUGCACCCAAACGGAAGAAAUACUUCAAUUCUCAGGAUUUCCCUCUGACACUAGGAAAAACAUCCAGGCAAGUGGACAGCAUUUGCAACAGCCCAGCAAUAAGAAGGACCAUAUUCUACUUGGGAAAAGGUAAAGUCGUUUCAUAUGGACGGAGCCUGCCAGGAAACCUGUCAUUCAACCCUUUGCAAUAAAACAGCUCCUCAUGAAUGAAGCAAAAUAAAUCAGAAGUUGUGGGCUUUUAAACUCACUAAAUGAAAGCACAGCAUGCAUGCAGCCUCCCUCCAAAUUAAUCACCAGAUUAAAUGCAAGAUGUGCACACCAAAUCAAUAGCUUGUGACGGGGACCUCCUGCCUGUGCUUCAGGAAAAUUCCAUUUCCUUUCAGAUGUUGUCGCUUGAAAUGUCAGGAAGUUUCCAUUCAUCACCCGCCCUUGAAAAUGCCACCAUCACCAUACUUCAUGUUUCCUUGCUUUCUUUCUUCAGAGGAAUCCAAGCACCUUGCAGAGGGAGCCCACUCCUUGUCACAGACUCUCCUGGAGGCUGAAACAGGGGCAGUCUGCACAGAGGAGAGGUGUAGAGAGGCGCGAUUUAGAAAUAAGAAAACCAAAUCGUAAAGAAGCCUAAUGUCUUGUUGCAACAUCUGAAAGAAACAAGAUGAAUAUAUUCCACUAGGUGGGAAGCUUAGGGUAGUGGGAAGAACAUGGAUUCAGGACUUUGAGAAACAUGGAUUUAAAUUUUGAUCCCCAAUGCCUCUCUGCACUUCACUGUUAUCUAUAAAAUAGAGGAAAUAAAAAUACUAUACAUUCAAGUCUUAACACCAACAGUUAACUAGUUGUGUAACCUUGGACAAGUUAUGUGACCUCUCUGUCUGAGCAUUGUCAUUUGUAUAUGAGAUCAUGGAGGUUAAAUGUCCAACCUGUUGUCACUGUGCACCUCAAAAUAAUAAAUAAAAC
rnacentral:lncRNA from 1 species